GACGAACCAUGCAAACGUUAUUCGGAAUUACUGGGCUUAAAGCGUGCGCAGGCGGUUCGCCAAGUCAGGUGUGAAAUCCCCGGGCUUAACCUGGGAAUUGCGCUUGAAACUAGCGGGCUUGAGUGUGGCAGAGGGGGGGUGGAAUUCCACGUGUAGCAGUGAAAUGCGUAGAGAAUGUGGAGGAACACCGAUGGCGGAAGGGACAGCCCCCUGGGUCAACCACUGACGCUCGAUGCAC
rnacentral:rRNA from 1 species